GAUGAACGCUGGCGGCGUGCCUAAUACAUGCAAGUCGAGCGAACGGACGAGAAGCUUGCUUCUCUGAUGUUAGCGGCGGACGGGUGAGUAACACGUGGAUAACCUACCUAUAGGACUGGGAUAACUUCGGGAAACCGGAGCUAAUACCGGAUGAUAUUUUGAACCGCAUGGUUCAAAAGUGAAAGACGGUCUUGCUGUCACUUAUAGAUGGAUCCGCGCUGCAUUAGCUAGUUGGUAAGGUAACGGCUUACCAAGGCAACGAUGCAUAGCCGACCUGAGAGGGUGAUCGGCCACACUGGAACUGAGACACGGUCAAGACUCCUACGGGAGGCAGCAGUAGGGAAUCUUCCGCAAUGGGCGAAAGCCUGACGGAGCAACGCCGCGUGAGUGAUGAAGGUCUUCGGAUCGUAAAACUCUGUUAUUAGGGAAGAACAUAUGUGUAAGUAACUGUGCACAUCUUGACGGUACCUAAUCAGAAAGCCACGGCUAACUACGUG
rnacentral:rRNA from 1 species